GUAGUCCACGCCCUAAACUAUGUCAACUGGUUGUCGGGGAAGCAAUUCCUUGGUAACGAAGCUAACGCGUGAAGUUGACCGCCUGGGGAGUACGGCCGCAAGGUUAAAACUCAAAGGAAUUGACGGGGACCCGCACAAGCGGUGGAUUAUGUGGAUUAAUUCGAUGCAACGCGAAAAACCUUACCUACCCUUGACAUGUACGGAAGCCUCCAGAGAUGGAGGGGUGCCCGAAAGGGAACCGUAACACAGGUGCUGCAUGGCUGUCGUCAGCUCGUGUCGUGAGAUGUUGGGUUAAGUCCCGCAACGAGCGCAACCCUUGCCAUUAGUUGCCACAUUCAGUUGGGCACUCUAAUGGGACUGCCGGUGACAAACCGGA
rnacentral:rRNA from 1 species